AUGAGUAGCGAGAUGUGGGUGAGAAUCCCACAGGCCGUAAACCCAAGGUUUCCAGGGGAAGGUUCGUCCGCCCUGGGUUAGUCGGGACCUAAGCUGAGGCCGAAAGGCGUAGGUGAUGGACAACAGGUUGAUAUUCCUGUACUACCGAUAACCGUUUGAGAGAAGGGAUGACACAGUAGGAUAAGCUAAGCACACUGUUGGUUAUGUGUGCCCAAGCAUUGAGGCAGUCAAAGUAGGCAAAUCCGCUUUGAUAAUGCUGGGAUGUGAUGGGGAGCGAAAUUUAGUAGCGAAGUAGCUGAUUUCACACUGUCAAGAAAAGUCUCUAUCGAGGUUAAAGGUACCCGUACCGCAAACCGACACAGGUGGGUGAGGAGAGUAUCCUAAGGCCAGCGAGAGAACUGUUGUUAAGGAACUCGGCAAAAUGACCCCGUAACUUAGGGAUAAGGGGUGCCACCAUCAGGUGGCCGCAGAGAAUAGGCCCAAGCGACUGUUUACCAAAAACAUAGGUUUCUGCUAAGUCGCAAGACGAUGUAUAGGAGCUGACGCCUGCCCGGUGCUGGAAGGUUAAGGGGAUCUGUUAGAGCAA
rnacentral:rRNA from 1 species